rnacentral:ncRNA from 1 species
UAAAAAAAGACACCUCUCAGAUUUGGAGUUUAAAGGAGCGGGUAUCGGGCACACUUCCAAAAGUAGCCCAUGACACCUUGUUUAACCACACCCCCACAGGUUACAGCAGUGACUAACUUUGAGCUAUAAAUGAAAGCUUGACUAAAUCAUAAUAAAAAGGGUUGGUAAAUCUUUUGCCAGCCACCGUGGUCAUGCGAUUAACCCAAAUUAACAGAAGAAUGGCGUAAAGGGUGUUUAAGCAUUCAAUCCACCAAAUAAAGUUAAAGCUCAACUGUGCUGUAAUACGCCCUAGUUGAUAUUAAAAUACACAACUUAUAUGACUUUACCCAUGCUGAAGACACUAAAGCUAAGGCACAAACUGGGAUUAGAGACCCCACUAUGCUUAGCCGUAAACUGAGGUAAUUAAAUAACAAAAUUACUUGCCAGAGAACUACUAGCCACUGCUUAAAACUCAAAGGACUUGGCGGUGCCCUAGACCCUCCUAGAGGACCCUGUUCUAUAAUCGAAAAACCCUGAUACACCUCACCCCUUCUUGCUUAUCAGUCUAUAUACCGCCAUCGUCAGCUCACCCCAACAGGGUCCCAAAGUGAGCAAAAUCACAAAACCAUAAAAAUGUUAGGUCAAGGUGUAGCAUAUGAAGGGGGAAGAAAUGGGCUACAUUUUCUAUGUUAGAACACAACGGAUUGUCUAUUGAAACAAAGACAUGAAGGAGGAUUUAGUAGUAAAUUAAGAAUAGAGAGCUUAAUUGAAAUAAGCAAUAGGGUGCAUACACACCGCCCAUCACCCUCCUCAAUAAAGUAACUUCAAAUACCUAAUAAGAAUACGCCAAAAAAAGGAGAAAAGUCAUAACAUGGUAAGUGUACUGGAAAGUACACUUGGACAAUCAAAAUG